CGGCAGAAAGUGGGUGGAUCAAACCUCGGGCGGCGUUGGGACCCGGGGAAUGGAGGGGUGACCCGGCGUCUCUCUCCUCACCAACCUAGCUUGGAGCAAGGAAUUUGAAGGCAAGGAAUCUCCAUGGCGUGCUCUAAUGUGAGCUUACGACCUCUCAUCGCUCGCCGGACGCUUCAGUCGCUCCUCCACCGCUCUCCCUGUAUUCGUUUGUGGUCUGGUUGCCUUAGCGCUGUUCUGACGUCUGAUAUCGUUUUCCCGGCGCGCAAGGCUUCGCGUUUGGUUCAGCACCGAUCUGUUUUGAACGGUAAUCGGCGACGGUCACCUGUCUAUCCUGGAGAUUACUUCCUUACGAGAGGGGUUAGCAAAGGUGUUGAAGCCCCUGUGGCAGCUAUGGGGGUGAUCCCUAAGCCUCCAGUUGCGAGGAAGGUUAGUCAUGUCUUGGAGACACAUGGAGACAAGAGAAUAGACGAUUACUACUGGAUCCGCGAUGAUGAGAGGAAAAACCCUGACGUGCUGGCAUAUCUGGAAGAGGAAAAUAGCUACACAGAAGCGGUUAUGGCCGACUCGAAGGAUUUCCAAGAGUCGCUGUUUCAAGAGAUUCGAAGUAAAAUAAAGGAGGACGAUGUCAAUGCUCCUUUACGAAAUGGUCCAUUCUUUUACUACACGAAGAACUUAGAAGGUCAACAGUAUACUGUGCAUUGUCGACGGGCGGCACCUGGAGGGGAAGGUCCUGGUCAUGUUGAUGAAGUGAUGGAAACUGGUAAUGGAGCAUCGGAGGAAGAAGUUCUGUUGGAUGAAAACAAAGAAGCCAAGGAACACGAGUUCUAUCAUGUUGGUGAAGUCAAGGUCAGUCCAAAUCACAAACUAUUAGCUGUGACGGAAGAUUUUACUGGUGAUGAAGUGUACUCAAUCCGUGUCAUUGAUAUCGAAACUGGCCAGUCUGUUGGAAAUCUCAUUACGGGAAGCACUGAACAGAUUGAGUGGGCUGAGGACAAUGAAAUACUGUUUUACGUAUCUCAAGACGAAGUGCACCGGCCUUACAAGGUUUGGCGGCACAGAUUGAACAAUAAUCAGUCUGACGAUGAAUGUCUUUAUCAUGAGAAAAACGAGGAACACUAUAUUGAUCUUCGCAAGUCAGAGAGCGAGGAAUACAUUUUUGUGUAUUCCGGCACAAAAGUUACUCAGUUUGUACUCUACUUGAGCUCCAAUGAACCUAAUGGGGAUAUGAAACCUCUGUCGCCUCACAUUGAAGGAGAAGAUUACUCUGUCACUCAUCGUGGAAACCACUUUUAUUUCACAAGGAGAAGCGAAGAGAUUUUUAAUUCUGAGCUUCUUGUUGCCCCUGUUACUAAUAUUUCUGCUUUUACUGUGCUGCUUUCCCAUAGACCCAGCGUGAAGCUGGAGAAUGUACGGGCCUCUAGGGACCACCUUAUUGUCAAUGUUCGCGAAGAUGGACUUCAGGCAAUCACUAUUUAUGCACUUCCUCCAGCUGGAAAAUCAGUAGAGUCGCUCUCUGAGGGACAGAAGAUUAAGUUUCCUGAGCCGACAUAUUCUUUAGAAGACGAAUCGUAUCAGUUUAACUCUCAUAUCUUCCGUUAUGGUUAUAGCUCUUUGCGAACUCCUCAAUCUGUUUAUGACUAUGAUUUGAACUCUGGCAAGGCGGUGUUGAAGAAAUUGAAGCCGGUUCUGGGUGGCUUUGACGUAAAUAAGUACGAAACAGUGAGGCCCUGGGCUACGGCCAGUGAUGGCACCCGCAUUCCUAUUUCAAUAAUCUACAGAAAAGAUCUUGUAAAACUGGAUGGGACAGACCCAUUGUUUCUCUCUGGCUAUGGUUCCUACGAGAUUCCAAAUGAUCCCGAAUUUAACUACCACAGAUUAUCUUUGCUAGAUAGAGGAGUCGUAUUUGCUGUUGCCCAUAUUCGAGGUGGAGGUGAAUUGGGGCGGAAGUGGUACGAGGAUGGAAAAUUGCUGCGCAAGAAAAAUACUUUUACAGAUUUUAUAUCUUGUGCGGAGUACCUACUGGAGAAUAAGUAUGGGUCUAAGGACAAGAUUGCUGUUCAAGGAAGAAGUGCAGGUGGUCUCCUCGCGGGUGCAGUUCUAACCAUGAGACCCGAUUUAUUCACAACUGUUAUUGCGGAAGUGGCGUUCGUGGAUGUUCUGACAACCAUGCUUGAUCCAUCCAUUCCUCUCACAACGGUGGAAUGGGAGGAAUGGGGUAACCCUGCCAAAGAGGAAUACUAUUACUACAUGAAGUCUUAUUCACCUCAGGAUAAUAUUCAAGCCCGUGACUACCCUAAUGUGCUCGUUACUGGGGGUCUCCAUGGUGAGUGCGCUGAUAUCUACCUUCGAUCCUCGCGUUGCCUACUGGGAACCUUCAAAAUUUGUUGCCAAGUUGCGAGAAAUGAAGACUGAUUCUAAUUUGCUUCUUCUGAAGUGUGAUAUGGGUGCUGGCCAUUUCUCCAAAUCAGGAAGGUUUGACAAGCUGAAGGAUUUCGCUUUUACGUAUGCAUUCGUUCUUAAGACUUUGGGCAUUUUGCCAUCAAUCAAUUCUUCUAAUCUCUAAGAAGUAGAAGGUUUGGCAAGUCAUCCCAUGAUGAAAGCCCUUUCAUUAGUAUGAUAUCUAAUGCAGCCUAUACUUCAUCGUCACGGCAGAUUGGCAUUGGUUGUCUUCCCUUUGGAUGUGCAUCUGAGGACAACUAAGAGAGAUUGCGUGGACAGAAGUAAGCAAGAUCUGGGAAGCAACUAUGGUUGGUCUUUGAUUCGAGUCCUUCUAGGUCACUGAAUUUCCAAGUGCUAGAUAGUUGGGUUCUUUUUUGAGAUGGUCCUUUUUGGUUUUCAUUUAUUUUGGGAUGCCGGAUCAGCAUUGUCAAAUUGAAGUAAAUGAAACUAUGUAUUACAAUGCCACUCGAUAUUGUGAGAGAGCACUUGUACGAGAAUCUUGCACGCAGUUUCAAACCUGCAACUGAUUCGUCCGUCAAA